rnacentral:rRNA from 1 species
CCUGACCUCGAUUCGAUCGUGAUUACCCGCUGAACUUAAGCAUAU